UAUAUUUCAUUUCUAUUUUUCCAGGUUUUUAAAUUUUUUUUUUAAAUACCCCCACUUAACUUUAAAUAGUUAAAUAUUCCACAUAAUUUUAAGGAAAAAAGGAAAAAGAAACCACCAAGAGCACCGUGAAUCUCAGAGAUCAGCAGUCCACCGCCUCGCCAUCCCCAACUCUGCUCCCUAGUGGCUGCCCCAGAUAGUCACCCCCAAUGGAUAUAUACAAGGUGAAAAAUGGAGUUGGGCAGGAAGAACGGAAACUGAAAUUGGCUGUUACUAAUAUCAGGCAUCUAGCUAGAUACUUUCAGACACAGGAUGAGCGUGGAAAUUCGCUGUGUUACCACACUUCUCAUUUCUGGUGAAGACAUUGGUCUGGCCAGAGAGGCCCAGGGAUCAACAGUCCCAUCAGCCUGUGGCUGCAGUCCCUGUGGAGCCCUGAGCAGAAGGAAGGCCUGCUCUUGACCUGGCGCUGCUCUGUGACCCGAGCUCCUCAGUUCCACGACUCCCGUGUGAACUAACAGCGGCACCUUUAUUUGUAACUCUCAGUGUCUCAAUUCUCUAAAAGGGUCAGCCUCCCCCAGUCAUCCCCAGCACGUCGAAUGAGGAACUUAACCUGUGAAGGAGCCCUUCCUGGGGACCCCGGCCCUGUAGCUUCCUCCUCAGAUGUCGCUGUGGACCAGCCCCCUCCCAGGUCCCCACCAGCCUGCUCCAGGGUGCCUCCGGGCUUCAGAGAAAGUUGGUUACUGAGCGCCUUCAGACACAGAGGUUCCCAGCUCUGCAUCAGAGGACCACUGCGGCCCAGCCUUUGCCGCAGCGAGAAGGGUUCCUAAGGACCUCUCCUUCCGGGUCAGCACACUUGACUCCGGGCCAGGGCCAGUCUGUCUGAAUCACAGCAUUCCAGUUGCGCCCCCCUCACCCCCACCAGAGGCUUCUGCAGCUUUUUGCUCAUACAAACAAAAAUAAAUCUCACUACCGGCCUCUGAA